GUCCACGCCGUAAACUAUGGAUGCUAGCCGUCAGAGAGCUUGCUCGUUGGUGGCGCAGCUAACGCAUUAAGCAUCCCGCCUGGGGAGUACGGUCGCAAGAUUAAAAACUCAAAGGAAUUGACGGGGGCCCGCACAAGCGGUGGAGCAUGUGGUUUAAUUCGAAGCAACGCGCAGAACCUUACCAACCCUUGACAUGUCGGUCGCGGACACCAGAGAUGGAGUCCUUCAGUUCGGCUGGACCGAACACAGGUGCUGCAUGGCUGUCGU
rnacentral:rRNA from 1 species